CGGGGCUUGUAUUCACCUGGCGCUGCUCUGAGUCUUUGGCGGCACUUCAGCGGUGGGGCCUUCGCUCGCCCCAGUUCUUCAGCGACACUGACGGACCCGCCGCUGAAGCGUCGCCAAAGACCCAGAGUAAGCGAAGGACCCGCCGCUGAAGUACCGUGGAAGACCCGGAGAGAGCGAAGGACCCGCCGCUGAAGUACCGUGGAAGACCCGGAGAGAGCGAAGGACCCGCCGCUGAAGACCCAAAGCGCCGCCCCAUAUCACAUUGACAGGACUGUGUGUCAAGGCAGAUCCUUCAGUUCCUUUUUGUAGAGUGGGCCUAUUUCUUUUUUUUAAUCCAAAGGGUGUAACUGAUUUUUUGAUCAGGGAAAAGUUUCACAUUAUCUACCUUUGCCUAUUUAUUGAUCUGAAAAAGGCUUUUGGGAACAAGCCAAUGUAAGGCUAUGAAGGAGAAUGAGGAUGUGUAACUUCAGCCUCACUGGAGAGUGAGUCAGGUGGGUGUGUAUUGUGACACAAAAGGGUCCACAUGGCUAGCAACAAGUAAUCAAGAGUCAGAGGUGGGAGGACAUGGAGAAAUGGAGAAAGGAGAAAGGGAGCCAGAAGAAAGCAGAACAGGAGGGAAGAGCCUGAGUGGACAUUAUGGAGAUGAAUGGAGGAACUCAGGAGAGGUGUAUGGAGCAAGAAGAGGGAGCUUGGGAGGAGGUCAUGCAACAGGCUGGGGGAACCCGAGGACAGAUUAUGGAGCUGGAUGGAAGACUCCAGGAGGAAAUCACAGAGUCAGCUAUGGGAGCUCAAGGGAAGAUCAUGGAGCUGGAUGGAAGAGCCUGGGUGGAGGUCAUGGAGCAGGCUGGAGGAGACAAAGGAAAGAUGAUGGAGCUGGAUGAAGGAGCCCAGGUGGAAGUCACAGAGCUGGAUGGAGGAGCCCAGGCAGAGGUCACUGAGCAGGCUCGGGAAGGCCAGGAAGUGGGCAUGAAGCUGGUGAAGGACCUGUUGGCAGUGGUUGCCACUUCUGCUCUUCCCCAAAAUGAGAAGACAGAAUUAGAGUUUGUGACCCUAUAGUUUAUGAUGGGGGGUAAUGUACACCUGGUCGGGGAAUUGCUGAGCCAACACACAGUGGAAGAGUUCCAACAGGAAGUGUUUGCUAGGUUCCCCAUACCAGCAUUCCGUGUAACUAGCACAGUGGCCUGUAAUCAAGCGACCAGCUGCAGGGCUGAGAGAGGCCUCUCACUCCAUGAACUUGGCUGUUCUGGGCAAAAGGACAGAAUUUACUCAAAGUUUAUCUUCUUCCUGUGCAGAGCCUCCUCUUUGACAGGCUGGGUGGGGCUAGACCGAUUGCUGGAGAUGCUACAGCAGCUGAAGCACUGUAUCUACUAUAUCCCAGUGGCCCUGGUUGGGGUGAUUGUGCAAGAAGACCCAGAGCUGGAUCUGGAGCAGGAAGUGAAGGCACUGCGGUGGCUGAAGUGCCUGCUGGAUGGAGUCUUCUGUUGUGAUUUGUUGCCAGGCCAUGAGGGGACAGAGCAAGAGGUGCAGGUUCAGGUGGCUGUCUACCAGUCAGGCCGGCCUCAGCGGGCUCUAGAGGUUAAGAGAGCAGCCUGCCAGGCAAUACGAGUGGCCCUGAAGUUCUGAACAGACAACAUGUGAGGAUGCAUCAGGAUUACCAUGGCUCCUGUAUUACAACUGAAGAUCUCAGUUAUCAAUGGAAAAUCAAUUCAGAUUUUGUCCCAGUUAUCUGUGUGCUACUUUUAAUUUUGAAAAGUUAUUGCUUAAUAUGUUGCAAAACAAAACCUCUUUAUCUGCAUUGUGACAUCACAAAUAUCUAAGAGCCACAGUGUGCUAUAGCAAUAUGUGAAGAACUGGAUGGUUCAAUGUACAGAUAAUGGCUAUAGAAUGUUAUGUUUUGAAUUAUAGCUACUAAGCAGUGACGUUUGAAAGAUUUCCAAGUAUCAUAGCUUUCUCCUGGCCUGUAAAUUGUGCAAUGAGCCCGGGUUGCAAUAUUUGUCUUAGAUGAUUUUUUUUCACCACAGCACUGUCCCUAUAUUUGUUGGACUUGCCUUUGCAACUGAAAUUGAUUGUAGGCUCAUAUGAUCAUUUUCAUCGCCUUAGGAUACAGUCCCCAGCUUUCAAGAAAGCUUUAUUCCAUUCUUAUUUGCUUUAUUUUUUAUACACAAAAAUUUCCUGAGAUGAUGAAAAUACCAAGAACGUAAAUGAAUGGAAUAUUUUCUUUUUUGGUUCAAUUUUUAUUGGGAAUCCUCUGUUAAGAGCAGCCAUACUGGUCAGACCAAUGGUCCAUCUAGCCCAGUAUCCUGUCUUUCAACAAGCUGCUUCAUAGGGAAUUAAAAGAAGAGGGCAAUUAUUGAGUAAUCCAUCCCCUGGCAUUCACUCCCAGCUUCAGGCAGUUAGAGGCUAGGGAUGCCCAGAGCAUAGGGUUGCAUCCUUGUCCAUCUUAACUAAUAGCCAGUAAUGGACCUCUCUUCCCCAAUACACUGGGGAAGUAGCUGGGACUUACCAUUACAGGUCUCUGUUGAGGGUUAGAGAACAUAUUAGAUGGUACUGCUUAACUAGUCCACAGAGUUUACAGGUUCUUGACUAAAUUAUGAGUGCCUGAUUAAUCAUUUAAUUUAUGCACCCCUGAUUUGGGCUGGAUUCAGCUGCCAUUGAAAUCAAUGGAAAGACUCCAUAGGGACUGGAGCAGACACUUAGCAAGAAUGUGAGUUAUGGCAGAGAUUAUAAAACUGGGAAAAACUAUACACAGAAAUCUUUAAAAAAAGGUAAUCAGCUUUUUCUCAGAGUAUUAACAUACUUCUUGUCUGCACAAGUUAGUUACCAGGCCCAAAUGGAGUGUCUUUGACCCUUUAAAUUGCUGGUUGAGUAAGCAAAACCAGAUGCCACUAAUUUAUAUGAAUGAAUAAUGGAGCAGCUAAAACUUCCUUUACUCUUUAGUAUAAAACCAAAUCAUGGACAAUUUUAGCCUAUUUAGCCCAGGUCAAAAAGCACAUUUAUAAAUUAUUCAGAAGCCACUUAGUCUUAGCUGGGUGGAAGAGAAACUAGUAGGUAAUUUACAAGGAGACAAAAAUUCCAGCUACCCAGGGUGCAAAAAAGAUGAUCAUGCAUCUAUCCAAUCAGUCUGAAAGAAAGAGUCUUCCUUUGUUUGUACCCUUGUGUGGACUACAUUGCCCUGGCAAGCUUUGCUUAAUUUGUAUGCACAACAGAAAUUACCAGAAAAUUAAGAUAAAGUGUGAUCAAAUAAUAAAUGUUCCAUUUCUAAAUGUUUUAUAAAGGGUAGUAUAUGGUUAAUAGAUGCUAUAGACAUGUAUGUGUACAUCUGUGGAAAGUGUUAUACUGGGUUAUAAAAUAACCUGUGACAGAUACUGGAACUGCAUACAAUA